AAUAAAACACAGGGGAGCUUGUAUAUACAGGCUGAGAGGAAGUUUUCAACUUCGACCCUUUAACCUGAUGCGGGUAAUGCCGCCGUAGGAAGUCGUUACAAUUAACGU
rnacentral:ncRNA from 2 species